UGGGGGAUAUUGCACAAUGGGCGAAAGCCUGAUGCAGCGACGCCGCGUGGGGGAUGAAGGCCUUCGGGUUGUAAACUUCUUUUGCUCUGAACAAGGCGCACCAUGGGGUGUGUUGAGUGUAGGGGUUGAUUAGCGCCGGCUAACUACGUGCCAGCAGCCGCGGUAAUACGUAGGGCGCGAGCGUUGUCCGGAAUUAUUGGGCGUACAGGGCUUGUAGGUGGCUGGUUGCGUCUGUCGUGAAAGCAAAUGGCUUAACUGUGGGUUUGCGGUGGGUACGGGCUGGCUAGAGUGCAGUAGGGGAGGAUAGAAUGCCUGGUGUAGCGGUGGAAUGCGCAGAUAUCAGGAGGAAUACCGGUGGCGAAGGCGGGUCUCUGGGCUGUUACUGACACUGAGGAGCGAAAGCAUGGGGAGCGAACAG
rnacentral:rRNA from 1 species